UCCUUGAGACUCAGGAGGACCAAAGC
rnacentral:piRNA from 1 species